rnacentral:rRNA from 1 species
GAUGAACGCUGGCGGCAUGCCUAACACAUGCAAGUCGAGCGGAAAGACGAUGAGCUUUCUCCUCUAACGUUAGCGGCGGGCGGGUGGGUAACACGUGCAUAACCUUCCUAUAUGACUGGGAGAACUACGUGAAACCAGAGCUAAUACUGGCUAAUAUAACGAACCGCAUGGUUCAAUGGUUAUACGGGGUUUUGCUGUCUCUUUUAGAUGGUUCCGCGUCGCAUUAGCUAGUUGGUAAGGUAACGGCUUACCAAGGCAACGAUGCGUAGCCGACCUGAGAGGGUGAUCGGCCACACUGGAACUGAGACACGGUCCAGACUCCUACGGGAGGCAGCAGUAGGGAAUCUUCGGCAAUGGGCGAAAGCCUGAUGGAGCAAUACCGCGUGAGUGAUGAAGGUCUUCGGAUCGUAAAACUCUGUUGUUAGGAAAGAAAAACUGUGUAUUUAUAUAUGCACGUUUUGACGGUACCUAAUGAAUAAGCAACGGCUAACUACGUG